UACGGAGAGAGCUAGCGUUAUUCGGAAUUACUGGGCGUAAAGCGCACGUAGGCGGCUUUGUAAGUAAGAGGUGAAAGCCCAGAGCUCAACUCUGGAAUUGCCUUUUAGACUGCAUCGCUUGAAUCAUGGAGAGGUCAGUGGAAUUCCGAGUGUAGAGGUGAAAUUCGUAGAUAUUCGGAAGAACACCAGUGGCGAAGGGCGGCUGACUGGACAUGUAUUGACGCUGAGGUGCGAAAGCGUGGGGAGCAAACAGG
rnacentral:rRNA from 1 species